CCACUAGACCUUCCACCAAGAAACAGAUACACACAAUGGCGUUCCCUUCAUUCUCCCUCAUUUUCCUCCUCUUCUGUUUCCUGGUCUCAUCCCUCAUUGCCUCCGCUUCCCCAGUGCGAGACCCUGAAUUAGUUGCACAAGAAGUACAAAGGUACAUUACAUACAUACAUACAUAUAUAUAUAUUCUAGUGUGUGUACUAUGUGUUCCACUAAGGCCCGUACAUACACUGGUACUAGCUAGUUCAAAACAGUUUAGAUGUUACUGGUCUUUAUUUAUGUAUAUAUAUAAUAUAUAUGUGCAACAUUUUGUUGAAUGCAGGAGCAUUGCUAAUGCCACAAGGGCUAGGAGAAAAUUGGGGUAUCUUUCAUGCGGCACCGGGAAUCCGAUCGACGAUUGCUGGAGGUGCCAGCCCGAUUGGGAGCAAAACCGGCAGAGGCUGGCGGAUUGCGGCAUUGGGUUCGGCAAGAAUGCUGUUGGUGGAAGGGAUGGGCGAAUUUAC
rnacentral:lncRNA from 1 species